rnacentral:rRNA from 1 species
GACGAACGCUGGCGGCGUGCCUAAUACAUGCAAGUCGAGCGCAGGAAAUCAUCCGAACCCUUCGGGGGGACGUUGAUGGAAUGAGCGGCGGACGGGUGAGUAACACGUAAAGAACCUGCCCUUAGGUCUGGGAUAACCACGAGAAAUCGGGGCUAAUACCGGAUGGGUCAUCGGACCGCAUGGUCCGAGGAUGAAAGGCGCUUCGGCGUCGCCUGGGGAUGGCUUUGCGGUGCAUUAGCUAGUUGGUGGGGUAAUGGCCCACCAAGGCGACGAUGCAUAGCCGACCUGAGAGGGUGAUCGGCCACACUGGGACUGGGACACGGCCCAGACUCCUACGGGAGGCAGCAGUAGGGAAUCUUCCACAAUGGACGAAAGUCUGAUGGAGCAACGCCGCGUGAACGAUGAAGGCCUUCGGGUCGUAAAGUUCUGUUGUAAGGGAAGAACAAGUGCCGCAGGCAAUGGCGGCACCUUGACGGUACCUUGCGAGAAAGCCACGGCUAACUACGUGCCAGCAGCCGCAGUAACAC